UGGGGAAUAUUGCACAAUGGGCGAAAGCCUGAUGCAGCAACGCCGCGUGAGGGACGACGGGCCUUCGGGUUGUAAACCUCUUUAGCAAGGAAGAAGCGAAAGUGACGGUACUUGCAGAAAAAGCGCCGGCUAACUACGUGCCAGCAGCCGCGGUAAUACGUAGGGCGCAAGCGUUAUCCGGAAUUAUUGGGCGUAAAGAGCUCGUAGGCGGUUUGUCGCGUCUGCUGUGAAAACCCGAGGCUCAACCUCGGGCCUGCAGUGGGUACGGGCAGACUAGAGUGCGGUAGGGGAGAAUGGAAUCCUGGUGUAGCGGUGGAAUGCGCAGAUAUCAGGAGGAACACCGAUGGCGAAGGCAGUUCUCUGGGCCGUAACUGACGCUGAGGAGCGAAAGCGUGGGGAGCGAACAGGAUUAGAUACCCUGGUAGUCCACGCCGUAAACGUUGGGCGCUAGAUGUGGGGACCAUUCCACGGUUCCGUGUCGCAGCUAACGCAUUAAGCCG
rnacentral:rRNA from 1 species